UGGGGAAUAUUGGACAAUGGGCGAAAGCCUGAUCCAGCCAUGCCGCGUGUGUGAAGAAGGUCUUCGGAUUGUAAAGCACUUUAAAGUUGGGAGGAAGGGCAGUAAGUUAAUACCUUGCUGUUUUGACGUUACCGACAGAAUAAGCACCGGCUAACUCUGUGCCAGCAGCCGCGGUAAUACAGAGGGUGCAAGCGUUAAUCGGAAUUACUGGGCGUAAAGCGCGCGUAGGUGGUUCGUUAAGUUGGAUGUGAAGGCCCCGGGCUCAACCUGGGAACUGCAUCCAAACUGGCGAGCUAGAGUACGGUAGAGGGUGGUGGAAUUUCCUGUGUAGCGGUGAAAUGCGUAGAUAUAGGAAGGAACACCAGUGGCGAAGGCGACCACCUGGACUGAUACUGACACUGAGGUGCGAAAGCGUGGGGAGCAAAACAGGAUUAGAUACCCUGGUAGUCCACGCCGUAAACGAUGUCAACUAGCCGUUGAAUCCUUGAGAUUUUAGUGGCGCAGCUAACGCAUUAAGUUGACCGCCUGGGGAGUACGGCCGCAAGGUUAAAACUCAAAGGAAUUGACGGGGUCAUAGCUGUUUCCUG
rnacentral:rRNA from 1 species